rnacentral:rRNA from 1 species
AUUGAACGCUGGCGGCAGGCCUAACACAUGCAAGUCGAGCGGAUGAGAGGAGCUUGCUUCUCGAUUCAGCGGCGGACGGGUGAGUAAUGCCUAGGAAUCUGCCUGGUAGUGGGGGAUAACGUUCCGAAAGGAACGCUAAUACCGCAUACGUCCUACGGGAGAAAGCAGGGGACCUUCGGGCCUUGCGCUAUCAGAUGAGCCUAGGUCGGAUUAGCUAGUUGGUGAGGUAAUGGCUCACCAAGGCGACGAUCCGUAACUGGUCUGAGAGGAUGAUCAGUCACACUGGAACUGAGACACGGUCCAGACUCCUACGGGAGGCAGCAGUGAGGAAUAUUGGACAAUGGGCGAAAGCCUGAUCCAGCCAUGCCGCGUGUGUGAAGAAGGUCUUCGGAUUGUAAAGCACUUUAAGUUGGGAGGAAGGGCAGUAAGUUAAUACCUUGCUGUUUUGACGUUACCGACAGAAUAAGCACCGGCUAACUUCGUGCCAGCAGCCGCCGUAAAAC